UAUAUAUAUAUAUACACACAUAUAUAUAUUUGUCACUUAAACUUCUCUUCAUCUGCAGGGAUAAAUCACAUAAUUCCCUGACAGAGCAGUAUGUAGGGUGUCUGGAUGAACAUGUGUUGGUGGUGUGGAAGCUGCUGUUGUUGCUUAUUUCCUUUCAAAUUUUAGCCGCAGAUUUACAGCCACUGUACCGAACAGAUUGGAGCGUCGUGUCAGAGAUAUACGGCGACGGCAGUCAGUUAAUGUUUACGGCUCGGUUACAGGAAGAGGCCUUCUGUCUUUUUCAGGGAAUGACACGGAGAAUACUUCAGGGAAAAAGCUCCACUAAUGUCACCUCCAUUCGGUUGAACUUCACUUUUUCUUUUUUUUAUCAGUUUGCAGGAAAAUUAAAAAGUUAAUCUAAGGAAUUAAAUUAAAAAUGUAUCAUAAGAUGAAGUUGUCAGAAAUCUAUGAUACAACAAUGUGUCCUCAGAUUAUUUUUUGCUGUUUUAAUGAUGUAAUCCAACACAUUUGCUGCUCUUAGGUGGUCAUCUUUUAAGCCUGUAAUGGUCACAGACAGAGAGUGUGAGAUCACCAUCUAUUAUGGGGGGAGAUGGAGUUGCCUGGUCCCCUCCGUCUCCAGCUUUAAAGGCUGCGUAGACGUGUGUGAUGCUGUGCAGGGACCGCCGCGCCAAGGCAGACCACACCUCAAACAGCUUUGGGUCGCUGCUCUAAAACCUUCAUUUAGAUCUGGCCCUGGCUCAGCCACCAAAAAAACCCCCCAAAAGUGGCAUCUACUUUGGUGUGUCGCAGCGCUAUAGGCCCCGUUUCCUCAAAGUCUAAAUCUGUGGACGCCGUCUUAGCGCUCCGGAGGUGCCAGGCAGGGACCAGCUCCAGACUUUUUAACAAACUGGGUUAUUAGCGAUUCCCAUUUGUUCUGUGAGAUCCAACCCACCAACAAAAACCAGCCUUGCUCACCAGCGUUUCUACUCCACACUACAACACAUACAGCAACUCUGUCAAAGAGCUCUCUGCCAUAUUGCAUCAAUCCAGCGUCCCAGUGAAAGUCCAGCUUCAGCAUGUUGUUCCAAUAAGGCAAAUCACUCAGAAGAGUGAAGUCAACCUUUUAUGAUUUAACGGCUUCCUUCUCUCUUUUGGUUUCUGGGGAUUUUUUGGAUGAUUCCCAAGGAAUUUGUUCCACUGAGUUAGCAUGAGGGUGACCGGCCUGUUUUUUGACUAAUGAUAAGUCAAUGUGGCGAGACUGGGGAAUCUCAUUAACACUUAAUUCCAACUCUGUGCCAAUAGUUUCAUUGCUAGUCGACAUUAUUAUGCGGCUGAUCUGCGACAGUUGUGUUUGUCUCCUAGAAAUUACAUUUAAACUUAACGCAUGAAACUACUUUGAUCCAGUUUUUCAGCUUUAUUAAGAUACAACGGUGUCAACACAAGCAGUGACCAAUAAAAGAUUGAUAAUAUUUAAUAGAGGUAAAUAAAUCAGAGGCGACUCGACACCAAAAAUGUUUAAUCAAAUUGUUUUAGUUUUUCAUCUAACAAUAUUUAUUUGUUUUGCAUGUUAAACUGAACGGUAAAACAUGAAAAAUUAUUUGUUGAUGAAUUUUAAAUACCUAAAAGAUGGUUAAAUGUGCAUUUGUUAAUUUAGACAGUGCAGUGUUAAAGACUAACUUUAUUUGAUUUAUUUGAUGAGAAAAUAUAUAAAUCAUUGAUUAGAGCCUUGACUUGGAGUUUCCCUCUAAACAUUGAAAUUGGAAACAUUACGGACAUUUCUCACAUAAAGACAGAUAUGCAGAGUGAUAGAACAAACUUAGAUGCACUGACUCUUUCAGGAGACAUUAUGGUCAAUUUAAGCCUGUAAACAUUUGUAUGUCCUCUCAAUUGUCAGUGCUAUUAUGCAUCUUAUUAGGAGGCUUUUAUAUUUGUUAAAAAAUUAUAAUUUGAGGCAUAUCAAGAGCAACUUACUCUUUAGAUUCACAGAUGACGGAGCCGCAUCAAUAUCAGUGGCCUGCAGAGAGAUUUGGCAGACUGGUGCAAGCAGAACGAUCUGAUCUUAAAUACAAAGAAGAAGAAGGACAUGAUGUUAAAUUUCAGGAAAAGAGCAGAAAUGGUAAGCAAGUGGAAAAAAUGAGCAGCUUUAAACAUCUCGUUAGAUGACCUCACCUUGAGCCUCAACACUGUACACCAGAAAAUCAGGUCCAGUAGUUUCCAGAUUCCCUCCAUCUCUGGGUACAUUCACACCAGCCCGGUUUAGACCGCUUCAACCGAACGCUGGCUCAUUUUCCUGGAAAGUCCAGUAAUUGAACUCUUGUCCGCCUAAAAACGUAGGUCUCCGCUUGGUUGAAACGAAGUCUGGAGUGGUUUGAACGCGCAUGUGAACGCCAAGUGGACCAGGAAGCGAACUACAGCGCAGUGUAUUCUGGUUAAAUACAACCAAAACAAAUAUGCGAGUUUUGCACCAGCGGGAGAAAUUGGUCAUGGUCUUCUAAAAAAAAAGAGAGAAAUCCAACAACCGUUAAAUCUGACGCUACCCCAUUUUUGUUUACUUUUUGCGAAGGAGGAAGUUGUGCUCAUGUCUUCUUCAGGGGUUUUAAUUUAAUUUCCUUCAGGUGGUUCUUGGUGCAGCGCCACCACAGGCGGGAAGGGGAACAGGUGUUUGACGGUGCAGUGUGAAGGCGAAACUUACCAGCUGAAAAUGUAACAAAUAGUUAAAUUUUGGUCUCCAUAGUCUCUUACAGAGAGUAACUAAAGCGGUAGAAGAGAAUCAGAUCCCAUGAUAGUCGAUCUAUUAGGAAGAAUACAGACUCACAGGAACAACUUGUUUCCUCUUGCUGUGGAUGGGCUGUUAAAACUUUCACUCUGAAUGUUGAUAGGUACAAAAUAGAAAGAAAUGUUAUCUUAAAAUAUGUGUAAUACUGUAUACUAUUUAUUUAUAGAGUGUCUAUGGAUGUAUUCUAUAUAGACAUUGUCUUUUCUUUAUACUCUAUAUUAGGAGGCUGCAAGCUUUACAAGCCAAAGAGCAAUUUUGUGCUCAAACAAGUUAAUAAGACAAACGUAGAGUCAUAAGAUAUUGUAUCUUUUCUGAUAAAUAGUACAUCCUUAUCAUUUUCAAAGUGCAACUACUUUAUUUCUAUUCUUAGUUUUAUAAAGAAAACAUAGAACCUUUUCAAAAAGAUGCUGAUUUUGAUAUUUACACAUUGUUUCCAGCCUACUAACAAAAAUAGAUGUAAAUAAAAACAACUGGUGCUUUUACUGUCAUUCUGUUGUGAACAUCAAGUAUAAUUAUUCUUAAAAAAUAAGAAAAAAAUAAGAGCCUAUUAGCUAAAAUUAGAAUUUGUUAUAUCAGUUGUUUUGUGCUGCUGGUCCAACAACAGAUAAAACAACUACAUAGCAACAAUAAUAAAAGAGAAAAAUGUAAAUGUUUUGACCACUGACUUAAAGUGUAAAAACAAACCCUCAAAUUUUUGAGUAUUACCUUCUUGAUAUAUUAAUAAAUGAGAUGAGGUGAAAUAUGUUGUGGUCAAAUUAUAUUAGAACUGCUUGAAAUUAAAUGUUUAUUGUAAAAUUUCUUAGAAAUAAACAAACUAAUCAUUGCAAAUUGACUUAAAUUAGACUUUUCUUUAAUAAUACUUGUACAUAGUUACUAUCAACGUGUAACUUUAUAGAUUUAACUAUAGCUUGGUGUCUUCCAUUGUGUUUAUUGCAUUCUCAAAACAAUAUUUUACCAACUGGUAACCGUUUUGAUUAUUUAUUUGUUGCUAUGCUUUUUGGGGAUGAACGUUUUGAGAUUAAAUGUUUCAACAAACCACUACAAAAUAAAUUAGCUCAUGCAUCUUGAGUAAUUCUUCCUGUUUUGGUCUAAUUACUGCGUUAUAUUACACCGUCUAUUAAUUAUUGAUUUAACUUAAUUAGCCAACUGGAGAAAAAGAUAAUUAAACACAUGCACAGUGCCUGAAUUAAGCAUAAUAUUUUUCGGUUUAUCUCAUGCAUGUGUUCACUUCCUUCAGGUACUCACAUGUUUAAGCAGCUGUGAAUGUUGUUGUUUUGUUUUUGUUUUAUUGUUUGUUUUAUUUUUUGGUGUUGCAGUAGUUGCAGGUGCAAACCCCAGAGAUCCCUCAAACCUGAACGUGCCAAUGCUGUGACCUGAAGACCUAAAUGUGUUGCAGCCACCUCGGUUCAAAGGGGUCACGGUUCGGGCCUCCGGGGAGCUGUUCUGCUCUCCAUCUCCUCUCACGCUGGGGAGUGGAGUUCCCAAGCAUUUCCCCUGACUGUGGCUCAGAACAAUCCCACGUCGGCGCCCAAUCAGGAGAGCGGAGCAGCUCGUUUCAUCAAUGUGGACAUGACGCAUGGCCAGGACAAUAGGAGGAUACGAAGGCAUGCCGUAACGCGCAAACGCAGCCAGUUGUUUUACUGUGUAGUGGCAAUUUCCUGAAUUUUAUGGUGUAACACUUUAAAACCUCUGAAGUCAUCAAGUGUUUUGUCAUAUUGAGUAUGAUAUAAAAAAGGAAGUCUGAUAAUAAAGCUGUAAAAACUA